rnacentral:rRNA from 1 species
GACGAACGCUGGCGGCGUGCUUAACACAUGCAAGUCGAGCGGUAAGGCCCUUCGGGGUACACGAGCGGCGAACGGGUGAGUAACACGUGGGUGACCUGCCUCUAGCUCUGGGGAUAAGCCUGGGAAACUGGGUCUAAUACCGGAUAUGACUCCACGGCGCAUGUUGUGGGGUGAAAGCCUUGUGUGGCUAGAGAUGGGCCCGCGGCCUAUCAGCUUGUUGGUGGGGUGANGGCCUACCAAGGCGACGACGGGUAGCCGGCCUGAGAGGGCGACCGGCCACACUGGGACUGAGACACGGCCCAGACUCCUACGGGAGGCAGCAGUGGGGAAUCUUGCGCAAUGGGCGAAAGCCUGACGCAGCGACGCCGCGUGAGGGAUGACGGCCU